rnacentral:rRNA from 1 species
CAGCAGCCACGGGAAUACGGAGGGUGCGAGCGUUAAUCGGAAUUACUGGGCGUAAAGCGUACGCAGGCGGUUUGUUAAGUCAGAUGUGAAAUCCCCGAGCUUAACUCGGGAACUGCAUUUGAAACUGGCAGGCUAGAGUCUCGUAGAGGGGGGUAGAAUUCCAGGUGUAGCGGUGAAAUGCGUAGAGAUCUGGAGGAAUACCGGUGGCGAAGGCGGCCCCCUGGACGAAGACUGACGCUCAGGUACGAAAGCGUGGAGAGCAAACAGGAUUAGAUACCCGGGUAGUCCCUGUCUCUUAUAC